rnacentral:tRNA from 2 species
GCCGACGUAGCUCAGCUGGUAGAGCAACUGAUUUGUAAUCAGUAGGUCACCGGUUCGAUCCCGGUCGUCGGCU